GAUGAACGCUGGCGGCGUGCCUAAUACAUGCAAGUCGAGCGAACAGACGAGGAGCUUGCUCCUCUGACGUUAGCGGCGGACGGGUGAGUAACACGUGGAUAACCUACCUAUAAGACUGGGAUAACUUCGGGAAACCGGAGCUAAUACCGGAUAAUAUAUUGAACCGCAUGGUUCAAUAGUGAAAGACGGUUUUGCUGUCACUUAUAGAUGGAUCCGCGCCGCAUUAGCUAGUUGGUAAGGUAACGGCUUACCAAGGCAACGAUGCGUAGCCGACCUGAGAGGUGAAUCGGCCACACGGGAACUGAGACACGGUCAGGACUCCUACGGGAGGCAGCAGUAGGGAAUCUGCCGCAAUGGGCGAAAGCCUGACGAAGCAACGCCGCGUGAGUGAUGAAGGUCUUCGGAUCGUAAAACUCUGUUAUUAGGGAAGAACAAAUGUGUAAGUAACUAUGCACGUCUGGACGGUACCUAAUCAGAAAGCCACGGCUAACUACGU
rnacentral:rRNA from 1 species